rnacentral:lncRNA from 1 species
GGAAGAAGGAAGUUCUAACUCGGCUGGACCCACUUACAGCCCGUGCGCCUCUCUCGCACAAAUGCCUCCUCUGCCCUCCCACCCCCCACUUUUUUUGGUGUGACGUCUCCAGCUCGCCUGUUGUCUCUUUCUGUCCAUAUGAGUUUUGUAGGUGCCGGAGCAGUGCCUUGAUCCUGAAAGCAAUGGGAAUGCAGAAACCAGAAUGCAUCUCUGCAGACGCUCGGUGUCCGCUCCGGAUCAAGCGCGCGCCGCCGGGCGAGUAGACCCAAACCCGGAUCGAGUUCGCACUUUAUCCCGGCUGGGUUUUUCCUGGAGUGCUGCUGGGUGCCAGAGUCGACUUGCCCGCCAAGCAGCCUCUAACAUAAAUCCUCCAGGGAGAAAAGUUGGGGGUAGGUUGCGCUGGAGGGAAACCCUCAGACUGCAGCUGAGGAGCCAGCUUGGCGAUGUGGAAGGCAUAGGAUCGAGGGUCUCUAAAGAGCAGAUUGUCAUGGCGGGACUCCAGCCUGCCCAUAGGGCUGGGAGGCGUCUACAAUGGAGUCUGCACACCCUAGCGCUCAGCCAACUCGCUCUCGCGUUGUCUUCCUGGAGGGCUGUCCCCCUCUUCUUGCUGGUAGCUAGAGCCAAGUGUCCAGAGCCAAGUCCGGUGGUACAACUGUUCCUGGACAAGGGCGAAGCUGUUUGCCUUCAGCUUCCUGGGGGAGCUGCCCAGGUCAAGGAUAGGUUUCUCUCCCCAAAACCUGGCUUGGAGGUGCAGGGUAGGAGCACAGCUCUACUCCCACGUGCCCCUCCCAGAGCUUUAAACUCCAAUCACCCUUCGAUGGGCGGUCUAGCAUUCAAGAAUUAGACUUCCCCAGCGUCCCCUGGCAGCUGUGGUAGGGGGCACCGAUGGGCUGUAUGAAAUUGACCCACCUAGGCCCUUUCCCUUAGCCAGAGUUCAGUCCACACCUCAAAGAGAAAAUAUGGCAUUUAUCUUUACUCAAACAACCAAAUUUAUUUAGCACUCGUCACUCUGAACAAUUAAUAGCCAUUCUUUCCUAAUUUCUGCUUGUUUCUUUUUCUCUUCCCACCACUCAUUUUGUUCGAGCCUGGGAAAUGAGCUGUUCAGACUUUGUCCGGGUCUCACGCAGGAUACCUCGAUGCUGAUUGGAACAGAGUUGGACCGAAAAUGUUUUGACUGGCAUCCUUAUGACAUGGUCAUCUGUCAUCCCUGGAUAGAUUGAUAGCACCCAAGUCUAAGGCAAACACCACAAGGGAAAAGCCACCAUGCUGUGGACCCCCAGGCUAACCAGGCAGUCUUCAUAGACUUUGGACAACUCCUUCGGGAGAAGAUGAUGAAGUUCCAGGCCCACUUUAAAUUAAUUGGCUUGAAGAGUGGCUUCUGGGCCAGGGAAGGAGAAAACUCUUGUUCUCACAUUCUCUCAGUUCAUUGUUGAGAAACCAGGACGUUUCUCUGUUCCGUGGGAAAGGCAGGAAGCUCUGAAGAUGGAAGUCCCAACGCAGAGGCAGUGGCCCUUUCUUGUUUAUUCCCCAAAUUGGCUAUUUCCAAGCUCUUGACUGCAGGACUUAAAGUCCCAAAGAAUCCUUCCCCUCGUCCUCUAAAAAGUCUCAGGAUUUUGAGAUGCUAGUUACUACAACUGCUUCGGAGGCCUUAUGACCACAUUCUAGGAAGUUGUUGGUGGUGGUGUGGUGUAUUUUCUCAUCGUAGUAAGAUUAGCUGACCGGUUACUGAGAACUUUGAACGUGCCAGCGCCAUAGGCGUUUAACGUGCAUUUAGUCCGUUUGGCAGCCAUGCGAGGCUGGCAUUGUCAUUACCUCCUAUUACAGAUGGGGACCAAGGAGGUUCAGAAAGGCCAGGUAGGUUGCCUGAAGUCACGCCACUAAUGAGUGAUGGAGGCAGAUUCAAAUCCGAGUCAGUGAGGGUGCCAAGUGCAUUUCGGUCGGUCACCCUCCUCAAAUCUCUAGCCACUCCAUCCAAAAUGAUGACAGAGGGAGUGUACCAUAGGAAGUGUUUGACUUCCUUGGGGCCUGGGGACAGGCAGAGAAAUUAGCGAAGGUAUCUGACCUGUCAAAUUCCUAUCACUAUGCUUGUCCCGGCUCUCCCCAGCGCCAGCGGCCCCAGGCACACCAGACCAGCAAGACGACCUAAGCCGAGGUUCCAGUGUCAUCGGGACCUUUAAUGAAGGAAGCAGGCAGAAUUCGGAUUCCGAGGGCUUGGGAACAAACGAAAAGGUCUGGGGUCGCGGGGGAGUGUUUCGGGAGUCUGGACAUCCCUGGCAUGGGGCUGGCUGAGGCAGAAGUCAGCGCAGUCCCUGCACUGGGAGCUCACCCCUGUGAGCAGUGCCUUGAGCAAAACCACUGAGAGCCCGGCGGCGUUACGCUCUUUGCCGAGGUCGUUUCCUCCUCACGCAGCUGACCCUUGGGCCCACCUGGUCACCCCUGCACGUCUGGCGGCGGUUGGGUAGAAACUGAGUCCGCAGACCGCGAAACAUGCACCCCUCAAAUUCGCUCCCCUCCUCUUCAUUACUUACAAGACGGCGGAAACAAAUCACUUCGACCACUUAGGAAGCGAUCAAACCUUGAUAAAAAUCCAUGCUCCCGAAUCGAUGGGUGAAUAUUUGCUGGGAAUUUGUUCCAGAGGAAUAAAUAAGGAGCGUGAGUGUAUUAAAUGCAAACGGGGGAGACGAUGGUGUUUUUCUUCAUUGAUUAAUGACCUCUAAAAUAAAACAAGUGGGAAGAGGAGUCGGGAUCGAUAAAUUAACUACCCAAAUUCAUCAUUUUCUGGAGCAUUUUCCCCCCGAAAAUUAUCCUUAGAAAGCCUAUUGUACACUUGGCUGGGAGGGGAAGAAUGGAGCCAAAAGACAGAGCAGGGAAAGAGUGGCAGGAAGAAGGAAGAAGACCUGUCCGGGAGAUCCUCUAUCUGAUUUCGUUUGACAUACAAUUAAAAAGUUUGCCUUUUAUAUAAAUUAUUUUUCCUGAUGGGGGAGGGGAACAAAUGGUUGUUGCCUUUGACAGGACUCCAAUAAAGGAUUCAGCAGCCCUCUUCUCUGCCCUGGGUGCUCCUGUUUCUAGGUUUAAGGUCACGGGUGGCUGAGUUAAU